UGGGGAAUAUUGCACAAUGGGCGCAAGCCUGAUGCAGCGACGCCGCGUGCGGGAUGACGGCCUUCGGGUUGUAAACCGCUUUUGACUGGGAGCAAGCCCUUCGGGGUGAGUGUACCUUUCGAAUAAGCACCGGCUAACUACGUGCCAGCAGCCGCGGUAAUACGUAGGGUGCAAGCGUUAUCCGGAAUUAUUGGGCGUAAAGGGCUCGUAGGCGGUUCGUCGCGUCCGGUGUGAAAGUCCAUCGCUUAACGGUGGAUCCGCGCCGGGUACGGGCGGGCUUGAGUGCGGUAGGGGAGACUGGAAUUCCCGGUGUAACGGUGGAAUGUGUAGAUAUCGGGAAGAACACCAAUGGCGAAGGCAGGUCUCUGGGCCGUCACUGACGCUGAGGAGCGAAAGCGUGGGGAGCGAACAGGAUUAGAUACCCUGGUAGUCCACGCCGUAAACGGUGGAUGCUGGAUGUGGGGACCAUUCCACGGUCUCCGUGUCGGAGCCAACGCGUUAAGCAUCCCGCCUGGGGAGUACGGCCGCAAGGCUAAAACUCAAAGAAAUUGACGGGGGCCCGCACAAGCGGCGGAGCAUGCGGAUUAAUUCGAUGCAACGCGAAGAACCUUACCUGGGCUUGACAUGUUCCCGACAGCCGUAGAGAUACGGUCUCCCUUCGGGGCGGGUUCACAGGUGGUGCAUGGUCGUCGUCAGCUCGUGUCGUGAGAUGUUGGGUUAAGUCCCGCAACGAGCGCAACCCUCGCCCUGUGUUGCCAGCACGUCGUGGUGGGAACUCACGGGGGACCGCCGGGGUCAACUCGGAGGAAGGUGGGGAUGACGUCAGAUCAUCAUGCCCCUUACGUCCAGGGCUUCACGCAUGCUACAAUGGCCGGUACAACGGGAUGCGACCUCGUGAGGGGGAGCGGAUCCCUUAAAACCGGUCUCAGUUCGGAUUGGAGUCUGCAACCCGACUCCAUGAAGGCGGAGUCGCUAGUAAUCGCGGAUCAGCAACGCCGCGGUGAAUGCGUUCCC
rnacentral:rRNA from 1 species